AUUGAACGCUGGCGGAAUGCUUUACACAUGCAAGUCGAACGGUAGAGGGGGCAACCCCUCGAGAGUGGCGAACGGGUGAGUAAUAUAUCGGAACGUGCCCAGUCGUGGGGGAUAACGUAGCGAAAGUUACGCUAAUACCGCAUACGAUCUAAGGAUGAAAGCGGGGGAUCGCAAGACCUCGCGCGAUUGGAGCGGCCGAUAUCAGAGUAGGUAGUUGGUGGGGUAAAGGCUCACCAAGCCAACGAUCUGUAGCUGGUCUGAGAGGACGACCAGCCACACUGGAGCUGAGACACGGUCCAGACUCCUACGGGAGGCAGCAGUGGGGAAUUUUGGACAAUGGACGCAAGUCUGAUCCAGCCAUUCCGCGUGCAGGAUGAAGGCCCUCGGGUUGUAAACUGCUUUUGUACGGAACGAAAAGGUCUCUCUUAAUACGGGGGACUCAUGACGGUACCGUAAGAAUAAGCACCGGCUAACCACGUGCCAGCAGCCGCCGUAACAC
rnacentral:rRNA from 1 species